GCGUGCACGGAUCCAAGCAUA
rnacentral:miRNA from 1 species